CUUGCUUGCCCUGCUGUUCAAUCACCAGACAGUGGAAGUUCCGUCAAGGCCCAGAGCACCAGAGAUUAGAAAGAGGACGGAGCAGCAACCGAAGGAUGGAGCCAAACAAAAGACGAGGGCUGAAGACACUUCAGUAUACGACCAAAACUAUUCAUUUUUCUUAAGAAACCACUAACUAGGAGCCAACAAUACGAUGUUCGCAGGCACAUGAAGCCACAGCUCAGCAGAAAUCCAGUAAGUCAGAAAAAAGUCAUCUCUGUAAUGUAAAAGGCUCUUGAGCUUCCCAUGUUGGGUCCGUUUACGGUAUGUACUUCAUAUUAAAGUGAUCACAAACACUACAAAAGAAAAUAACCAACGCACACAUAAAUACUGUUUUCUCAUGAAUUGUUCACUAGCCCUCUCUGGAAAUUGUAAUGAAGCUCCUCUAAUUUAGAAGGCAUGCAUGGGAUAAAGUGAUCAUCUUGUGUUUGUCAGUGUUGGAGGGUUCCCGCAGAGCAACCCAUUGGAAUUUAUAACCAGCCUCUUUUUUUUUUUUGCACAAACUUGUUUAUCUCAGUGGGAUAAAUGAAAAAGACAGUACUGUUUGAUACGAUUUGGCUUUGUUUCAGCUGCUCGGCAGGGGUCAGAGCAGUGGCCCUAUAGAUCCACACACCAGUGUAGCCUCUUUGAGGCCAUACGGAUGUUAAGGACUACACCUUUAGACAUUGCAGUAUCUUGUUAUGUAAAAAAGUUUGUGUUCUGGCAAAAUAUAGUUAUGUCAGUAACUAUAAAUAUGGACACAAAUACACACAAGAGUAUAGCAUUAUAGAAAUAUCUCAAACUCUCCAUCUUUUGUCCUAGAACUUAUUACGAUUUUUUUAAUCUAAUAAGUGUAUGCUAUUAAUUAACCUAGAGGUUUGCUCUUUUUUGGAAUAAAAUAAGAACAUUUUAAAAGGAUAAUUUAUAGGAUUCAAAAGGGAAUGGUGGAGGAAACCUUGAAGGUUGUCUUUGAGCUUUUGACAAUUCCACUUUUUUAAUAUAAAAACAACAGAAACAAACAUUUUUUUUAGGUCUAUGGAAUGUUUUGAUAGUAUUUUUUUUCUUACCAAUUACAAAAAACCACUAAUCCCCAACUCUGUCAGAUAUUGUGCAUAUCGUGUAACCCGUGCAAUAUCUGCAAUCUCCCACUAGAGGACACUGCACUGUAAAAAUUAAUUGUAGCAGAUUGAAGGUCAGUGUGCUUUUUUUCACCAUGCAGAUUUGAUUUUUUUUUUUUUUUUUUUGGCAGAAAUAGUACAAGCAGCAUGGUGAUGCGCCAUGCAAGUGUGCAAAAAUCUAAUUUAUUGUAUGUCGAACCUUUUGUGGUUUUAGUUCAUGUUGUAAUUUGCAAUCUAUUAACUAUUUUUUUAAUUAUGAUUAUUAUUCUUGGGGUAAAGACUUUGUAAACACUGUCAUUUGUUUUAUUCAUUUGCAGAAAGAAUGGCAGUAAAAUUUCAGACCUGACCCCACUGUAACUCUCCUCCAUCAUUCCCAUCAGGCUUUGUGCCGGUCCCCGUAUCACAGGGACAUACAGUAUGCCCUUCACAAUUAUUCACAGGUUAAAUCACCAAUACAGUAUAAUGCAUUAACACAUUUCGUAAUGACACAUUCAUUUGUUAUCUACACACUCAUAUAAAAGACUCCUCUGUCAGUGUAGAGGGAUUUAUAAGAAACAUCUGUAUAUAUCACAUAAGAUACUGUUGGUUCGUAUUUUUCCUCUUUGUGUCACGUGUUUUCUUUUUUCCAAAAAUAAACUGACAGCGUGUGUAGGAUGUCCUGACAGAUAUUCAAAACA